CACGUGGAUCAUCUACCUCUUAGUGGGGGAAUAAACUCUGGGAAACCGGAGCUAAUACCGCAUAAGCCUGGAAAGGGAAAGCAGCAAUGCGCUGAGAGAGGAGUCCGCGGCCGAUUAGCUAGUUGGCAGGGUAAAAGCCUACCAAGGCAUUGAUCGGUAGCCGGCCUGAGAGGGCACACGGCCACACUGGCACUGAAACACGGGCCAG
rnacentral:rRNA from 1 species